CCUACGGGGGGCAUCAGUGGGGAAUAUUGGACAAUGGGGGCAACCCUGAUCCAGCCAUGCCGCGUGUGUGAAGAAGGCCCUCGGGUUGUAAAGCACUUUCAGUGAGGAAGAACGCCUGGUGGUUAAUACCCAUCAGGAAAGACAUCACUCACAGAAGAAGCACCGGCUAACUCCGUGCCAGCAGCCGCGGUAAUACGGAGGGUGCGAGCGUUAAUCGGAAUUACUGGGCGUAAAGCGCGCGUAGGUGGCUUGAUAAGCCGGUUGUGAAAGCCCCGGGCUCAACCUGGGAACGGCAUCCGGAACUGUCAAGCUAGAGUGCAGGAGAGGAAGGUAGAAUUCCCGGUGUAGCGGUGAAAUGCGUAGAGAUCGGGAGGAAUACCAGUGGCGAAGGCGGCCUUCUGGACUGACACUGACACUGAGGUGCGAAAGCGUGGGUAGCAAACAGGAUUAGAUACCCCAGUAGUC
rnacentral:rRNA from 1 species